UACGUAGGGGGCAAGCGUUGUCCGGAUUCAUUGGGCGUAAAGAGCGUGUAGGCGGCCAGGUAGGUCGGUUGUGAAAACUGGAGGCUCAACCUUCAGACGUCGACCGAAACCAUCUGGCUAGAGUCCGGGAGAGGAGAGUGGAAUUCCUGGUGUAGCGGUGAAAUGCGCAGAUAUCAGGAGGAACACCGGUGGCGAAGGCGGAUCUCUGGGCCGUAACUGACGCUGAGGAGCGAAAGCCAGGGGAGCAAACGGG
rnacentral:rRNA from 1 species